CUUGAGUCCUGGGCAGAGCAGAUGGCUGCAUCCUUCCAUGGCCCCGGUCUUUAAAGCAGUGAUUCACUGGAAGCUCCUCUGAAGGCCAUGCCAGGAGAGCGAGGGGUUGCCCCGUUUCUUGGUUCAUGACCCCGUCCUGCUGUAAAGCCAGCAAUGGUGCAUUCAGUCCUUCUCAUGCUGCCAUCUCUUUGGUUCUCCGCAACCAGUCUCCUCUACAGGUGCUUUACCGAUGGGAACGAUUUCUAUAUAUUUCCUUGGUACCAAGAGGAACUAUGCAAGGUAACCUAUUACACCAAAUUACUUGUUUUGCUUUCCAUGAUAUAAUAACACAGUAAAAGCUAUUUUAUCCAGUCUGGUGAGAGAGUGGAAAUGGAUUAAAAUGCUUUGUUAAUUAAGAGUUAAUUCCUAC